AGAGUGGAAGAUGAAGAGAGACUACAAAAGGAAAUAAAUGAGUAUUUUUCACAUGGGACUAUCUUACCAUCGCCAUGGACACCAGACAUCAAACAUGUGACAUUUUCUCCCCAUCCUCCUUCUACUGCAUAUAUAAGUGGAGAUGAGGACUGUGCAAGUUACAACUCUAAUUAUUCACCAUCGAAGAAUAUCAUGAUGAAAAAGAACAUUGUGCAUGCUGGUUGUCAAACGUCAUUGACAUUUCCACCCUUGUUUGAUUUGAGUAAGAUUGUUGGUGAGAAAAAUACUUUAAAAGAUUGUGAAUAAACGUUGAAUUGUGUUACAUUGAAAAGUAAUUUUAGAUUCAGGAUUUUAUUCCUACAUGGAAGACGAAGGGAGCUCACGUGACAUGAAUGUUUCGUCAUUACGUCGUAAAUUAUUCAGUCCCGAUGAACAUAGUUCUCCACACAGAUCACAUGAUCAUCCACGAUGCCUUCCUAUGAGAUCCAUUCUUAAGAGUCCCAGUCCUUCGAUUUUGGUGAGAAGCAGAG